rnacentral:rRNA from 1 species
UGGGGGAAUAUUGGACAAUGGGCGAAAGCCUGAUCCAGCAAUGCCGCGUGUGUGAAGAAGGUCUUCGGAUUGUAAAGCACUUUCGACGGGGACGAUGAUGACGGUACCCGUAGAAGAAGCCCCGGCUAACUUCGUGCCAG